rnacentral:rRNA from 1 species
CCUACGGGAGGCAGCAGUGAGGAAUAUUGGUCAAUGGCCGGAAGGCUGAACCAGCCAUGCCGCGUGAAGGUCAGUGCCCUAUGGGCGUUAAACUUCUUUUGUGCGGGAGCAAUACUGGUCACGUGUGGACAGACGAGAGUACCGUACGAAUAAGCAUCGGCUAACUCCGUGCCAGCAGCCGCGGUUAUACGGGGGAUGCAAGCGUUAUCCGGAUUUAUUGGGGUUUAAGGGUGCGUAGGCUGUGAGGUAAGUCAGAGGUGAAAUGCCCCCGCUCAACGGGGUGAAGUGCCAUUGAUACUGCCUUGCUGGAAUGCGGAUGCCGUGGGAGGAAUGUGUGGUGUAGCGGUGAAAUGCAUAGAUAUCACACAGAACACCGAUUGCGAAGGCAUCUCACGAAUCCGCGAUUGACGCUGAUGCACGAAAGCGUGGGUAUCAAACAGGAUUAGAUACCCUUGUAGUC